rnacentral:misc_RNA from 1 species
GUGAUUUCCCAAAUGUUGAGCACUUCAGAGAGGUUUUGAGUGGUUACAGCAUUGACAAGUUUGAAAAGUUAAAGCCUAAAAUGAUACAAGCUGUUGAUGACAUGCUUGGUUAUGACAUCCCAGAGCUCCUGAAGAACUUCAGAAAUCCCUACGACUAAGUAGCAGUUUAUAGAGGAUGAAAUUUAGAUCAAGACUAGAUGGAAGUUGAAUCUCUGUUGCAUCUUGUGGGAGCAUUGCACAGCUUAAAACUUCACCGUUGUUCAUUGAUUUGGGUCAUUAUGGGGCUCGAAUGCAGACUUAUGUAGAAAAUAUAUAAUCGAUUCAGGUGCUUGAUUUACUUGUGCUUGAUUUAAUUGCUCCUAACUUUUUGUAAUUUUCCUAGUUUUUAUUUCAACGGCUUUUUUUU